rnacentral:rRNA from 1 species
AGAGUUUGAUCCUGGCUCAGAAUGAACGUUGGCGGCGUGGAUUAGGCAUGCAAGUCGAACGAAAAGUCUCCUUCGGGAGGCGGAAAGUGGCAAACGGGGUAGGAAGGCGUAGGUGACGUACCCUUGGGACUGGGAUAGCCACGGGAAACUGUGGGUAAUACCAGAUAAUCUCCUUGAACGUGGUAGUUUGGGGAGCAAAGGUGAGAUUCCACCUGAGGAGCGGCUUACGUAGUAUUAGCUUGUUGGUGAGGUAACGGCUCACCAAGGCUACGAUGCUUAGGGGGUGUUAGCGCAUGACCCCCACCACUGGGACUGAGAUACUGCCCAGACACCUACGGGUGGCUGCAGUCGAGGAUCUUCGGCAAUGGGCGCAAGCCUGACCGAGCGACGCCGCGUGUGGGAUGAAGGCCCUUGGGUUGUAAACCACUGUCAGAGGGGAUGAAGUGCCGGGAGGCUAUCCUUCCGGUUUGACAUAGCCUCAGAGGAAGCACGGGCUAAGUUCGUGCCAGCAGCCGCGGUAAUACGAACUGUGCAAACGUUAUUCGGAAUCACUGGGCUUAAAGGGUGCGUAGGCGGCUGUCUAAGUAGGGUGUGAAAGCCCCCGGCUCAACCGGGGAAUUGCGCCCUAAACUGGAUGGCUGGAGUGAGGCAGGGGUGUGUGGAACUUCCGGUGGAGCGGUGAAAUGUGUUGAUAUCGGAAGGAACGCCGGUGGCGAAAGCGACACACUGGGUCUCAACUGACGCUGAGGCACGAAAGCCAGGGGAGCAAACGGGAUUAGAUACCCUAGUAGUCC